CGGACACGAAAAGGGUGGGAAACCUCCAAACGAAAACGAAAACAACCAAAAACGCAGACUGAAAAACCCAAAAAGUACUGCGCAGAAAUAAGCUCAAAACGCUCUAUACUACCCAAGGAUUCCAGAAAACACAACGAGAAGUAAACGAAAUCCGGAAACAGUGUACGCAGAAACUGUCCCGAAAGGCUCUAUACUACCCAAGGACUCCAGAAAACACAACGAGAAUUAAACAAAAAUCGGAAAAAAAAAGUACGCAGAAACUGCCUCAAAAGCUCUAUACGAUG
rnacentral:lncRNA from 1 species